rnacentral:rRNA from 1 species
AAGACCUUGCGCUUUUGGAGCGGCCGAUGUCUGAUUAGCUAGUUGGUGGGGUAAAGGCCUACCAAGGCGACGAUCAGUAGUUGGUCUGAGAGGACGACCAGCCACACUGGGACCGAGACACGGCCCAGACUCCUACGGGAGGCAGCAGUGGGGAAUUUUGGACAAUGGGCGCAAGCCUGAUCCAGCAAUGCCGCGUGAGUGAAGAAGGCCUUCGGGUUGUAAAGCUCUUUCAGUCGAGAAGAAAAGGCUGUGGUAAAUAAUCACAGUUCAUGACGGUAUCGACAGAAGAAGCACCGGCUAACUACGUGCCAGCAGCCGCGGUAAUACGUAGGGUGCAAGCGUUAAUCGGAAUUACUGGGCGUAAAGGGUGCGCAGGCGGUUUUGUAAGUCAGAUGUGAAMUCCCCGGGCUUAACCUGGGAAAUU